AGCAGGCUCUUACUUCCUCAUUUCCUGACGCCUCUCUUCCUCCGGCAAAUCUCGCCUCUUUCAAAUCUUCGUUUUAACGUCUCUCUUCCCUUGCGAUGUCAUGUGUAGAGCAGCAAAUCAAACGGAAGCUCGAUAGGGAUGGAAGAAUACCGUUGGAGGAGGAAGGGCAAGCAGCAGCAGUUUCCGGCACCACAAGCUCGGCUCUGAUGAGCAAAAGCGGCAACGCGAGACCGAGCACCAGCAACGCAAGGCUCGCGAUCCAAAAUUCCCGACAGUAAAGAAAGAAAUUGCGAGGGAUCGAAUAGUCGGAGGGCAUUGAAAAUUUAAUUGAUUGCCCUGAUGAAUUAUUACCUUUUGGCCGCCGAGUGGUGAGAAGAUUCGUGGAGGUUGAAUGAUUGAAAAGCUGCGUUUGGGGCGACACAUUUCGAGCAGCUUUGGGCCUUAGUAAUACAGUCUCAUGAGCCUUUUGGUUGGUGGCUAAAAAGGACCUGAUCCUUUUAUACAAAAAUGACUUCAGCACGAAGCCCAUCAGAUAACCGCAACUGAUUUUGCUUUAUGCUUGAUAAGAAGACACAUCUCAAAUGAAAUUCGGGCUCUAACGGAAAGCAAAACAAUAACUGUCAAGUGUUUAGACAUCUGCAUCACCUCCCUUUUUACGUGGUUUGUAUGCAUCGAGUUGAUUCUUAUAACUGCAGACCGGGUAUUUCUAUCUUCCAAAAAGGAUUAACGAUGAGAUCCUUUCAAUUGCUCCUCUCGAUUCGCUUGUUCAAAAUUAUCACGGGUGACGUUGGAAAAUAGGUUUUUCCAAUUUGGCCAAAUACCUUGGAAAAAAAAAGGGGACAGGUGAUUCUUGCCGUGGAAAUACUGUAAUCACCAGGGAUGGCGCAUUGAUUCUCAGAGAAAUAUAGCCCCCUACCUGGCUUGCAUCCAACCACAGCUCCUGAGCUGUUUAAUAGCCUCAGAUCAUUUGGGCAGCUCUCCAACUGGGCUUUGCAGCUUGCAGACGUGCAGCCAACACACAUCGGCAUAAUCUCAAGUCCGAGAUUGUACCCCCUUUCCGCGGACAUGGUGAUGUUGCCAUCAUCGGAAACGAUGUAAGUUGUUGCAACCGGACUGUCCUCUGCAGUACAAUCUCUCCUUUUGCAAUUACCGGUAGUGCAAUUGAGAGCAUCCAAUCCAUCCAAAGUGCAUCCAGUACUGAAAAAGCCAAAGCCUGCCCACCCAUCUGGCAGAGUGUAAUUCUGUACUUUACUUGGAUCAAUUGCACUGAGGCUGGUGCUAUUUUCAAUUUUCAUAGAACUGCCGGUAGGGAUCAGUGAUGGAAAUAUUGGUAUUGGGCAAUUGUUGUAAUAGACUAAUGUAAAACUCGCUGAAGCAAAAACGGGCAUCCUUCCUACAGAUUCAAACAACAGAUAGUUAAAAACAUCAUAAAGCGAUUAAAGAAUAAAAAUGACAA